rnacentral:rRNA from 1 species
UACAGGGGGGGCAAGCGUUGUUCGGAAUUACUGGGCGUAAAGGGUCUGUAGGUGGCCAACUAAGUCAGACGUGAAAUCCCUCAGCUUAACUGGGGAACUGCGUCUGAUACUGGAUGGCUUGAGUGUGGGAGAGGAAUGCGGAAUUCCAGGUGUAGCGGUGAAAAUGCGUAGAUAUCUGGAGGAACACCGGUGGCGAAGGCGGCAUUCUGGACCAUAACUGACACUGAGAGACGAAAGCCAGGGGAGCAAACGGG